rnacentral:rRNA from 1 species
CCCAAAGAUGCCGUAGGAGCUUGAUCCUGGCUCAGCUAGGUCGUAACAGGGUGAGCCUGUAGAGUUUGAUCCUGGCUCGGUGAUCAACACGUGGGUAACCUGCCCAUAAGACUGGGAUAACUCCGGGAAACCGGGGCUAAUACCGGAUAACAUUUUGAACCGCAUGGUUCGAAAUUGAAAGGGGCCUUCCGCUGUGACUUAUGGAUGUGCCCGUGUCGCAUUAUCUAGUUGUGGAGGGAACGGCUCACCAAGGCGACGAUGCGUAUCCCACCUGAGAGGGUGAUCGGCCACACUGGGACUGAGACACGCCCCCCACUCCUACAGGAGGCACCACUAUAGAAUCUUCCCCACUGGACAAAAGUCUGACGGAGCAACGCCGCGUGAGUGAUGAAGGCUUUCGGGUCGUAAAACUCUGUUGUUAGGGAAGAACAAGUGCUAGUUGAAUAAGCUGGCACCUUGACGGUACCUAACCAGAAAGCCACGGCUAACUACGUGCCAGCAGCCGCGGUAAUACGUAGGUGGCAAGCGUUAUCCGGAAUUAUUGGGCGUAAAGCGCGCGCAGGUGGUUUCUUAAGUCUGAUGUGAAAGCCCACGGCUCAACCGUGGAGGGUCAUUGGAAACUGGGAGACUUGAGUGCAGAAGAGGAAAGUGGAAUUCCAUGUGUAGCGGUGAAAUGCGUAGAGAUAUGGAAUCAUCACCCCUUUCGUCGGGGCUUUCUGGUCUGUAACUGACACUGAGGCGCGGAAAGCGUGGACUGAGUCCGAUGGAGCAAACAGGAUUAGCAUCACUCUCUGGUAGUCCACGCCGUAAACGAUGAGUGCUAAGUGUUAGAGGGUUUCCGCCCUUUAGUGCUGAAGUUAACGCAUUAAGCACUCCGCCUGGGGAGUACGGCCGCAAGGCUGAAACUCAAAGGAAUUGACGGGGGCCCGCACAAGCGGUGGAGCAUGUGGUUU